AUUGAACGCUGGCGGCAGGCCUAACACAUGCAAGUCGAACGAGUAGCGGACGGGUGAGUAAUGUCGGGGAAACUGCCUGAUGGAGGGGGAUAACUACUGGAAACGGUAGCUAAUACCGCAUAACAUUAGAUGUGACCAGAUGGGAUUAGCUAGUUGGUGGGGUAACGGCUCACCAAGGCGACGAUCCCUAGCUGGGCUUAGAGGAUGACCGGCCACACUGAAACGGAGACACGGUCCAGAGGCCUACGGGAGUCAGCAGUGGGGAAUAUUGCACAAUGGGCGCAGGCCUGAUGCAGCCAUGCCGCGUGUAUGAAGAAGGCCUUCGGGUUGUAAAGUACUUUCAGCGGGGAGGCGUUACCCGCAGAAGAAGCACCGGCUAACUCCGUGCCAGCAGCCGCGGUAAUUC
rnacentral:rRNA from 1 species